GCAACCUGCAGUCUUUAGAUGGAGGCUUUAUGAUCCUGAAGCUAACCCCAAAGGUAAAACCUGCUCUUUGGAAAACCACAGAUGUUCAGAAAAGAGGGGUGCCAGAGCAAUGCUUCAUAAAUUACUUGUACGCAGGAACCAGUAGUCAAGAUCGAGCAAUGACUGUCACUGCAGAAAAAGGUCUCACAACUGAUCAAGCUCUUAUUUAUAAUGAGGGGAGCAAGCAAGCUGCCCAAGCUCCUGGAAGUGAAAGUCAAGUCAAAUUUUGUAUAAACGGUAAUUUGUCAUCAGAUAACCUGAAAGCAAGGAAAGACACUCUUCUCAAAGGUUAUAUAACUAAGAAAGAAGAAUCCAAAAAGAGUUUUAUUCAUUAUAAGGACAUGGAUUUGAAAAAGAAAGCCUAUAUACCUUUGUGCAUUGAAGAUGAAAUAGAAAAACCAGAUGCCAAAGUAAUCAUAGCUGGCUGCCCUAAAAAGUCCCACAUUACAGUGAAAAUGAGUGAAUCAUUUCCUGUUCUUCAUCACAAUGAAGAAUACAUGGAGAAGUAUGUUUUGAACCGAUGGCUUGCUUUAUAUGGAAAUAAAGCAUUUUAUGAUAUAAAUAAGAGGGGUGAAGUAUGUACACAUUUAAAUCCUGUUCUACAAAAUAAUUAUGAUGAAACAAUUGCAAUAAUAGAAAAUAGAAAAAGCCCUCCUUCUAAAGUAACUGCAAAGAAGAAGAAGAAGCCCAAUUUUUCUGGGAAACCAAAACACAUCACCAUUCGGAUUUUAUCUGUGGAGAAGGCACCAUGUUAUGUUCCUUUAAGUUCUCAGAAAACAGCACCAUUUCUUCAGAAAACUCAUAGACGUAUAACUAGAACUGUUAGCAGACACAAUAUAGUAGGGAGGCACAUUCAACAGAAAAAACCUGAAAGUAACAAGGACAUUCUUAUGGUACAUGGAGUGAAUCCUCAGAGUAAUAAAUACCCACAUAUUGCAUCUAGUGUUUUGGUUUCCAGAGUAAAGUCCCAGCUUCCAAUAUUUUUGGACAAACAAUUUACUUCAGUUGAAGAACUCCGCCAGAAAGGCAGAAUGAUAUUUGUGGACUACAUUCCUAUUUCAAAGCCAAUUCCAAUUCACCCCUCUGGAGAGGAACUCUUGGAUCAAGCUUCCAAUUCAGCAAUAGUAGGUGACUGCACUAAACUCAGACCAAUGGAAAUAAGCCAGUCUGAGAUGUAUCAUCAGAAUACCUUUGAGCAGAAACAGGUGGAUGAAAGGAAGUCAGGUGACAUAGAUUUAACAGCACAAGAGCACCUGUCUUCAGUCCAGAAAAGCAGUGAGAGGUCAAGCAGAUCAACACCAUCAUUGUCCCUGAGGGGCUUUGAAGCAGAAGAAAAUAAUAGCCCGGGGGCUCAGAAAUCGGGAACUUUGGUCAAACAUUCAGAAGAGAAACACAUUGCGUCGACUCAUUGUCCAGUUAUAAGCAUACCAACAGCACAGUUCGAGACCUCUGAACUCCACAGACAUCAGAAUGUGCAAGAGUUUAAUGAUAUUUGA
rnacentral:lncRNA from 1 species